rnacentral:rRNA from 1 species
GUGGGGAAUAUUGGACAAUGGGCGCAAGCCUGAUCCAGCAAUGCCGCGUGGGUGAAGAAGGUCUUCGGAUCGUAAAGCCCUUUCGACAGGGACGAUGAUGACGGUACCUGUAGAAGAAGCCCCGGCUAACUUCGUGCCAGCAGCCGCGGUAAUACGAAGGGGGCUAGCGUUACUCGGAAUUACUGGGCGUAAAGGGCGCGUAGGCGGCUCUGUUAGUCAGGCGUGAAAUUCCUGGGCUUAACCUGGGGACUGCGCUUGAUACUGUAGGGCUUGAGGCCGAGAGAGGGUGGUGGAAUUCCCAGUGUAGAGGUGAAAUUCGUAGAUAUUGGGAAGAACACCGGUGGCGAAGGCGACCACCUGGCUCGGUUCUGACGCUGAGGCGCGACAGCGUGGGGAGCAAACAGGAUUAGAAACCCCGGUAGUCC